UGAACUUGGGGGCAUCACAUUCAGACAUAGCACCAGCCUCACCUGGCCAGGUCAGGGAAGUGGCUGUGGAACCCGAGGAUUAAACCGACCUGACAGAUGAAUGGACAUUGUCAAAGGCAGAAAAGGCAAGGGCCAUCCAGUGAGAGGCACCAGCACGUGCAGGGCCCCCAAGCCAGGGAGGACCCAGAGAAGAUCUGCUGUUUGGUCUGCUGAACGGCUUCUGAAGACGCCAGGAGUGUUUCCUCAAGUGUCGAUGGGACUGCUCACCCUGAAAUCAUGUGGUGUACCCGUUAAGAAAGAAGCGUCCUAGUUCCCACACCAGACACACUAAAUCAGCCUCUUUUUCUCUUUUAAUAAGUUCCAGGCAUUGGGAUACACGUGCAAGUGUGAAAGCCACAGCUCCUUGUCGUGAUGGCCGGGAUCCUGGCUCCUCCGGCAUCACUGGAGAACCAGCCCCACAGGGCCCAGCAGUUACCUGCGGCCAAUUCAUGUCCGGAAGCAGAUGCUCCUCCUCCAGACCCAGCGCCAGAAGGAAAGAUGCUUCAGAGCUCUUCCCCUGCAACUGAGACCAGCUGAGACCAUUAAUAAGAAAGGCAGAAGAUUCGGUGGUAACACCUGCCAUGUGAACUGCUCUGAGCUCUAUUCUGGCUCCUUUGUGAUAAACUGCAGGUCUUCCAAGGCUGAAAGGGUCCUCUCGGCAGGAGGGCGCUGGCAUAAGCCCUUUUUGGGAACUUUCCAGCGAGGAUGCAGGAGGCUGUGCUGCUCCACCCACCUCCGUGGCCACUGACGCCCUCCCUGUCCUCUAGUCUCACCCACCACUCAGCCCUCCCCCAUCCACUCUGGGGCUUUCUCUUGAAGACCUUUGGGAUCCUCGAUGUAGACAGCCUAGAGCUCACAGGCUCCACCUCUGCAGGAGGUGUGAUGAGCAUCCACAGAGAGCAGAAAAGGAUGCGCAAACUGUCUUGUUCCCAGACCCCAGAAACUCGGCAUCCAGCCUCCUGUGCUUGCCAGUCACCUCUUCUCACAUUUCCCCGUCAUGUGAACCAAGGGCACCAAUGUGGCAAAAUCAUCACUUUCACCUGAAGGUGCAUCUCCCAGGCAAGUGAGAGUUUGCAUUUGACAGACCCUAAGAUUGGACUGCGAACGUAGCUGCUUCCAGCUGGCCCUUCUGGGCUUGUGGUUUGCUCCCUCGUUGAAGUGAAGGCACCAUUAAAAACUCCUCAUUUGGGGCACCAUGUCUAGUCUUUGGUGCUAAAAUCUUCAGUGCUGCUACAGGGCUCCCAUCACAAAGCCUGCCACAGAGAUCUGGGAGGCACAUGAACUGCUCUGCAUGGCUGGCUGGUGAGCAGCCCUGCACCCUGGGGCAAAUGCCCGUAAGUAGCCUAAGUGUGGCAGAGGCUUCUGUUAUCAGUCAAUAACUAUGUCACUCUCUUUAUUAGUAACAGAUCUUUGAUUUUAAUCAGAGCCACAGUGGUGCCCAGUUAAAAAGACUACAUUCUCAGACUCCCUUGCAGCUAGUUUGACUAUGUGACUACAUUCCAGGAAAUGGAACAUAAGCAGAAGAGUGUAGGACCUCCUGUAAGUCUCUUUAAAGAAAGCUAACUCAUCUGGGAGGAGAAUUAUUCUUCCUGUCAGCUACCUGGAAAGUGUCUAAGAUGGUGGCCAUCUUGGACCAUGAGGUUACCUUGAGGAUGGGAGUCAUGAUGUGAGGAUGCUGGAACAGAAAGAUACAAGGAGCCUGGCUCCCCAGUUGCCAUGGAGCUGACAUGCCAGCCCUGGACUGCCUGCCUCUGGGCUCCUUUGAAGUGUGAGAGAAAUAAGCUUCCAUCUCAUUUAAGCCACUCUUGUUUCCAACUUUGUGACAUAAGCAGCUGAAUCUGGUUCUAACAACUGCAUUUAGUUGUUGCCUUUGAAUUUCCUGAGUAACUGGAGGAUCAUUCUUGCACUCUCCUGUGCUACAGCAAGCCAAGAUGAGCAGCAUGGACUUUGGGGUAUAGAAAUAGGUUUGAAUCCAUGCUCUGCUGUUAGCUGCAUGCUGCAAGCAAUUAUUUAUUUUCUCUGUUCCCGUUUGUCUUUCGUAAGAUGGCGUGCAUUAAUUCAUUCAUGCAUAUAACAUGGUAUAUGCACAUGGUAGGGGCCAACAAUGUUGGUUUCUGUGUUGUCCCCUCAUUCCCAUGUUGAGCAUUUUGUUUUAAAUACUCAAAAGAAACUCUAGG
rnacentral:lncRNA from 1 species